rnacentral:lncRNA from 1 species
CUCAUUGUAAGAAGGCCCAAGAGUAAGUCAUGUGAGGUUGAUGGCGAUGCUUAAAAGCAAUCGACUUACAAGGGUAUGAAAAUGGGCUCGACAUUGAAUCGAGAAAAGUGUGAUUUUAAUAGUUUAAAAUAGUUUUGAAUGGAUGAUGAAAUUAAUAAUAAAAAAAACAGAUUUGUGUUAUUAAAUAAUAAUGAAACCAUGAGUAUAAUAAAACAUAAACAUAAAAAAUAUUAAAAGAAAUAAAAUGCUAAAAGAAAUAAAAUGCUAAAAAAAUGCUACAUAUGAGUAUUGAACCCACCCCACUCAAGACUAUGAAACUAACCUCUCUCCACUAGGCCAUUCAUGACUGGUUAUUAUUUACUAUGACAAAUGGGCUUUAUAAAUCAGAAAGGAUUGGAACAAAAAAAAAUUAAAGAAAAUAAAACCAAAAUAAUAAUAAUAAUAAUAAAAACUGUUGGAUUACCCCAAAAAAACCCAGCCGCCUGACUGUUGGGUUUUAGAGAUUAAUGGUUGGGGAAUACCAAAAUGAUGUGUUAAUGUCU